GUAUAAGAGACAGCAGCCGCCACGGGAAUACGAAGGGGGCUAGCGUUGCUCGGAAUGACUGGGCGUAAAGGGCGCGUAGGCGGAUGGCUUUGUCGGGCGUGAAAUUCCAGGGCUUAACCUUGGGGCUGCGUUCGAGACGGGUUGUCUUGAGUAUGGAAGAGGGUCGUGGAAUUCCCAGUGUAGAGGCGAAAUUCGUAGAUAUUGGGAAGAACACCGGUGGCGAAGGCGGCGACCUGGUCCAUUACUGACGCUGAGGCGCGAAAGCGUGGGGAGCAAACAGGAUUAGAUACCCGUGUAGUCCCUGUCUCUUAUAC
rnacentral:rRNA from 1 species